CUACGGGAGGCAGCAGUGAGGAAUAUUGCGCAGUGGGGGAAACCCUGACGCAGCGACGCCGCGUGGGCGACGAAGGCCUUCGGGUCGUAAAGCCCUUUUAGCAGGGACGAGUGAGGACGGUACCUGCUGAAUAAGUCUCGGCUAACUACGUGCCAGCAGCCGCGGUAAAACGUAGGAGGCGAGCGUUAUCCGGAUUCACUGGGCGUAAAGCGCGCGUAGGCGGUUUGUUAAGUCGGACGUGAAAGCCCCUGGCUCAACUGGGGGAGGCCGUUCGAUACUGGCAGGCUUGAGGGUGAGAGAGGAGAGUGGAAUUCCCGGUGUAGCGGUGGAAUGCGUAGAGAUCGGGAGGAACACCAGUGGCGAAGGCGACUCUCUGGCUCACUCCUGACGCUGAUAGCGCGAAAGCGUGGGGAGCAAACGGGAUUAGAAACCCGGGUAGUCCG
rnacentral:rRNA from 1 species